rnacentral:rRNA from 1 species
AAUGAACGCUGGCGGCAUGCCUAACACAUGCAAGUCGAACGAGACCUUCGGGUCUAGUGGCGCACGGGUGCGUAACGCGUGGGAAUCUGCCCUUGGGUUCGGAAUAACAGUUAGAAAUGACUGCUAAUACCGAAUGAUGUCGUAAGACCAAAGAUUUAUCGCCCAGGGAUGAGCCCGCGUAGGAUUAGCUAGUUGGUGUGGUAAAAGCGCACCAAGGCGACGAUCCUUAGCGGUCUGAGAGGAUGAUCAGCCACACUGGGACUGAGACACGGCCCAGACUCCUACGGGAGGCAGCAGUGGGGAAUAUUGGACAAUGGGCGAAAGCCUGAUCCAGCAAUGCCGCGUGAGUGAUGAAGGCCUUAGGGUUGUAAAGCUCUUUUACCCGGGAUGAUAAUGACAGUACCGGGA